rnacentral:hammerhead_ribozyme from 1 species
AUCCAGAUGACGAGUCCAAAACAAGACGAAAUGCGCUUUAUCCUGGAU